rnacentral:rRNA from 1 species
AUUGAACGCUGGCGGCAUGCCUUACACAUGCAAGUCGAACGGCAGCACGGGAGCAAUCCUGGUGGCGAGUGGCGAACGGGUGAGUAAUAUAUCGGAACGUGCCCAGUCGUGGGGGAUAACGUAGCGAAAGCUACGCUAAUACCGCAUACGAUCUAUGGAUGAAAGCGGGGGAUCGCAAGACCUCGCGCGAUUGGAGCGGCCGAUAUCAGAUUAGGUAGUUGGUGAGGUAAAGGCUCACCAAGCCGACGAGCUGUAGCUGGUCUGAGAGGACGACCAGCCAGACUGGGACUGAGACACGGCCCAGACUCCUACGGGAGGCAGCAGUGGGGAAUUUUGGACAAUGGGCGCAAGCCUGAUCCAGCAAUGCCGCGUGCAGGAUGAAGGCCUUCGGGUUGUAAACUGCUUUUGUACGGAACGAAACGGCGAGCUCUAAUACAGUUUGCUAAUGACGGUACCGUAAGAAUAAGCACCGGCUAACUACGUGCCAGCAGCCGCCGUAA